rnacentral:rRNA from 1 species
CGGGGCUCAACGCCUUGUAAUUGGAAUGAUGGGAAUCUAAACCCCUUCCAGAGUAUCAAUUGGAGGGCAAGUCUGGUGCCAGCAGCCGCGGUAAUUCCAGCUCCAAUAGCGUAUAUUAAAAUUGUUGCAGUUAAAAAGCUCGUAGUUGAAUUUCUGCCGCAUCGCGGCGGCCCUCCCGGGCCCAGCGUUGCGGCUUAUUUCGGACUCGCUUGCGUCUCCGAAUGUUUACUUUGAGAAAAUUAGAGUGCUCAAAGCAGGCCCUUGCCUUGAAUACUUUAGCAUGGAAUAAUAAAGUAGGACUUUGGUUCUAUUUUGUUGGUUUAGCGCCAAAGUAAUGGUUAAUAGGAACAGUUGGGGGCAUUCGUAUUUAACUGUCAGAGGUGAAAUUCUUAGAUUUGUUAAAGACGAACCACUGCGAAAGCAUUUGCCAAGGAUGUUUUCAUUAAUCAAGAAC